ACACACACACACACACACCCACACACACACACACCCACACACGCACACCCCCACACACACUCAAGCACAUACUUGCACACACAUCCCUGGGGUCCUGCAAAUUUACUGCCAAAAUGAGGGAAUUAUCAAUCUCCCACCUUUUCUGGUAGACAAAAAUUGUUUGUCUGAUCACUGAUGGAUUAGCUGGACCAUUGAAAGGGAGGUAAUUGUUUAAGUCUUGUUCCAAUCUCUUCACACCAACAUUUGAAAUCUAACCAGUGGCCACAGUUUUGUUCAUAAUUAACUAAAAUAUCUCUCUAGUCUCUACCAAUAUUCUUGCACCUAUAUAUUUUAGAUUGUGAAGGUAUAGAGAACUUUGAGUUAUUAGGCUAUCAAAUAAGUAAAAAAUUCUUGAGAGCUGAUGAUGAUAGCAACAUGAAUUCUUAUUGUAAGCAUGUCAGAGUUGAUGUAUGCCUCAUCGUAUCAUCACCAAGAAAAUGGGUCAUUCAAAUAUGGUUGUUAACCAGAACCAAAGAUGGUAUAAAGACCUAAAUAUGUUUGAAUGAUGAAUGAAUUUCAAUGUAAAAGAUGGAGAGUCGACUCCAUAUAAUGUGGAAGGAAACCUUUAGUCUCGACUGAUAAAAUUAUAUCAUAGAAAAAUUAUCCAAUUAAAAUUUUCAUGGGAGUUUUGUUCACUGUACUAAUGAGACUGAUACUACAUUAGUUUGCAGUUUCACUACAUUUAUGCAUGAGAAUCACAAUUUGUCCCUCAGUUGCCAAUAUCAUUACAUAUGUACUGGUGUGUGUUUUGUGUAUGUGUGUAGGCUUUGCAUAAUUGCAUGUAAAGGAUGUGCUUGAGUGAGUUCAUUUUUUGCAUCGUGGAAGAACUAGUUUCUGAAACAUGCAUUGACUUUCUACCAGAAUGUACAGUGUUUAAAAAAGCAAGCGAGCAGACACCUUGUAUCUGAAUGGUGCAAAAUCCAUUUCUUUGUAGCUUUUAAAAGUUAGCCUCAUGAACCUUUAGAACAAAAAAAGACAAAUGGCUGGUAGUGUUAACGCCACUCCGUUCUAUUCCUAAUAAGCGGCUUUUCCUGUUUUAUUGCUGUUUUGCUAUAACAUAACCAAUGUCUCCACUUUACUUCUUUUUUAGUCAUAUCUGUGUUAUGUAUCGGUUAGGAUGCUGGUUCUGUCUAGUCAUAUUGCAGUUGUGUUUUUUUUUUUUUGAUAUUCUAUUUAGUUGUGUUAUUUGUUAUGAAUUGGUCUUUAUGACUUAGAAAAAUGGAAGAGAAUGUUUAAAAUACAAUCGGACUAAGAGCAAGCCUGGACCUAAAAUACAAUCGGACUAAGGGCAAGCCUGGACCCUUCACUGGGUAUAAAUGCUUGGAAAUGUGGAUGUUUAGGUCAAUGUGAUGAAUUUGAAUAAGCGUGCUUUUUACUAAUGCAAGUUGUGUUGAUGCUAUAGAUAAACAAGCAUGCUUUCUCUGGCGGUCAAGAUUCUGAGGAGAAGCACAGAAAAUAUGGAGCAAAUUUAGAGGUAGAUAUACCAAUCAAAUAUUUAAGUUUUUUCCUGGAGGAUGACGAUGAGCUUGAACACAUAAAAAAGGAGUAUGCUGCGGGACGCAUGCUAACAGGAGAGGUGAAGAAGCGUCUUGCUGAGGUUUUGACUGACUUGGUUGAAAGACAUCGUUUGGCGCGGUCUGCAGUGACUGAUGAAAUGGUGGAUGCAUUUAUGGCGGUGAGACCUCUUCCCAAUAUGCUCGACUGAAAAGUGGAGGUAACGCAGAUACAGGCUUUUCUUUGAAUGAAAGAAUUUGUCAUUGCUUCAAAUUAAAUUAAAUUCAGGGUGUGCUUGUGCAGAAUCAUUACAUUGAAGUGGCAGUUUUGAAUAGUACAGUGAGUUCUUUUUCUACAUUAAUUAUAGAGAAGAGAUAUUUAUUUCAAAUAAAAACAAUUUCAUUAUUUUUUUGUCAAAACUUAUAUUAGCUGCUGUGGUUGGCCAAUGGCAUGUUUUUCCAUGGUUCUGGAUGAUAAUAGCCAAGGCAAAGGUCACCAUUUCCUUUAGCAUGGUCUUGGAGGGAUUGAAAAAUCUCAUGAACUAACUCAUCCCAUUUGCUUUUGUGUUAAUGACCGAAAAAAGUUGGUCAAAUUCGUAAUGGAAGAUAAUUUCUAUUUUUGAAGCCAAAUUUGUAUGGAAGUUAAUUUUGUUUUAUAAAUUAGUAUUAACUAUAACCAAAAUAUGUUUUAGAACUUCUACAUUAUUGGCUUGAUAUAUAUAU
rnacentral:misc_RNA from 1 species